AGAGGCGUGGCAGAGUGAUCUAUUGCACCCGUUUUGAAAGCGGGAGAUCGGGGUGACCUGAUCCGUGGGUUUGAAUCCUACCGCCUCUG
rnacentral:tRNA from 1 species